rnacentral:rRNA from 1 species
GUGCCAGCAGCCGCGGUAAUACGUAGGGGGCAAGCGUUAUCCGGAAUAACUGGGCGUAAAGGGUGCGUAGGCGGCCCUGCAAGUCAGAAGUGAAAGGCUACGGCUCAACCGUAGUAAGCUUUUGAAACUGUAGGGCUUGAGUGCAGGAGAGGAGAGUAGAAUUCCUAGCGUAGCGGUGAAAUGCGUAGAUAUUAGGAGGAAUACCAGUUGCGAAGGCGGCUCUCUGGACUGUAACUGACGCUGAGGCACGAAAGCGUGGGGAGCGAACAGGAUUAGAAACCCGGGUAGUCC